UCCUGGUGGCUCAGAUGAUAAAGAAUCUGCCUGAAAUGCAGGAGACUCAAGUUUGAACCUUGGAUCAGGAA
rnacentral:tRNA from 1 species